GUCCGGGCUCCACGGAACGACGGUGCCGGGUAACGCCCGGCGGGCCCCCCCGCACGCGGGGGUUCAGGGGAAGUGCCACACAAAGCAUAACGCCCGCUCGCGGGGCGGUAAGGGCGAAAGGGUGCGGCAAGAGCGCACCGCGCGGCUGGCAACAGGCGCGGCACGGCAAACCCCACCGGGUGCAAGACCGAAUAGGGGUGGCAUUGGGUUUCGGCCCUGGGGCCUGUUCCGGCUCGCCACCCGGGUUGGUUGCUUGAGCGGCACGGCAACGUGUCGCCUAGAGGAAUGGUCGCCCAGGUGCUUAGGCACUGGACAGAACCCGGCUUACAGGUCCCCUGACAUU
rnacentral:RNase_P_RNA from 1 species